rnacentral:rRNA from 1 species
GGGUUGUGAGGUUAAGCGACUAAGCGUACACGGUGGAUGCCCUGGCAGUCAGAGGCGAUGAAGGACGUGCUAAUCUGCGAAAAGCGUCGGUAAGGUGAUAUGAACCGUUAUAACCGGCGAUGUCCGAAUGGGGAAACCCAGUGCAAUUCGUUGCACUAUCGUUAACUGAAUACAUAGGUUAACGAGGCGAACCGGGGGAACUGAAACAUCUAAGUACCCCGAGGAAAAGAAAUCAACCGAGAUUCCCCCAGUAGCGGCGAGCGAACGGGGAGCAGCCCGGAGUCUGAAUCAGCUUGUGUGUUAGUGGAAGCGUCUGGAAAGUCGCAGGGUACAGGGUGAUACUCCCGUACACUAAAACGCACAGGUUGUGAACUCGAAGAGUAGGGCGGGACACGUGGUAUCCUGUCUGAAUAUGGGGGGACCAUCCUCCAAGGCUAAAUACUCCUGACUGACCGAUAGUGAACCAGUACCGUGAGGGAAAGGCGAAAAGAACCCCGGCGAGGGGAGUGAAAAAGAACCUGAAACCGUGUACGUACAAGCAGUAGGAGCCCACUAGUUGGGUGACUGCGUACCUUUUGUAUAAUGGGUCAGCGACUUAUAUUCUGUAGCAAGGUUAACCGUAUAGGGGAGCCGCAGGGAAACCGAGUCUUAACUGGGCGUUAAGUUGCAGGGUAUAGACCCGAAACCCGGUGAUCUAGCCAUGGGCAGGUUGAAGGUUGGGUAACACUAACUGGAGGACCGAACCGACUAAUGUUGAAAAAUUAGCGGAUGACUUGUGGCUGGGGGUGAAAGGCCAAUCAAACCGGGAGAUAGCUGGUUCUCCCCGAAAGCUAUUUAGGUAGCGCCUCGUGAAUUCAUCUUCGGGGGUAGAGCACUGUUUCGGCUAGGGGGUCAUCCCGACUUACCAACCCGAUGCAAACUACGAAUACCGAAGAAUGUUAUCACGGGAGACACACGGCGGGUGCUAACGUCCGUCGUGAAGAGGGAAACAACCCAGACCGCCAGCUAAGGUCCCAAAGUCAUGGUUAAGUGGGAAACGAUGUGGGAAGGCCCAGACAGCCAGGAUGUUGGCUUAGAAGCAGCCAUCAUUUAAAGAAAGCGUAAUAGCUCACUGGUCGAGUCGGCCUGCGCGGAAGAUGUAACGGGGCUAAACCAUGCACCGAAGCUGCGGCAGCGACACUUAUGUGUUGUUGGGUAGGGGAGCGUUCUGUAAGCCGUUGAAGGUGGCCUGUGAGGGUUGCUGGAGGUAUCAGAAGUGCGAAUGCUGACAUAAGUAACGAUAAUGCGGGUGAAAAACCCGCACGCCGGAAGACCAAGGGUUCCUGUCCAACGUUAAUCGGGGCAGGGUGAGUCGACCCCUAAGGCGAGGCCGAAAGGCGUAGUCGAUGGGAAACAGGUUAAUAUUCCUGUACUUGGUGUUACUGCGAAGGGGGGACGGAGAAGGCUAUGUUGGCCGGGCGACGGUUGUCCCGGUUUAAGCAUGUAGGCGGAUGUUCCAGGUAAAUCCGGAACGUUAUUAACGCUGAGGUGUGAUGACGAGGCACUACGGUGCUGAAGUGACAAAUGCCCUGCUUCCAGGAAAAGCCUCUAAGCAUCAGGUAACAUCAAAUCGUACCCCAAACCGACACAGGUGGUCAGGUAGAGAAUACCAAGGCGCUUGAGAGAACUCGGGUGAAGGAACUAGGCAAAAUGGUGCCGUAACUUCGGGAGAAGGCACGCUGAUGGUAGGUGAAGUGACUUGCUCACGGAGCUGAAAUCAGUCGAAGAUACCAGCUGGCUGCAACUGUUUAUUAAAAACACAGCACUGUGCAAACACGAAAGUGGACGUAUACGGUGUGACGCCUGCCCGGUGCCGGAAGGUUAAUUGAUGGGGUUAUCCUCACGGAGAAGCUCUUGAUCGAAGCCCCGGUAAACGGCGGCCGUAACUAUAACGGUCCUAAGGUAGCGAAAUUCCUUGUCGGGUAAGUUCCGACCUGCACGAAUGGCGUAAUGAUGGCCAGGCUGUCUCCACCCGAGACUCAGUGAAAUUGAACUCGCUGUGAAGAUGCAGUGUACCCGCGGCAAGACGGAAAGACCCCGUGAACCUUUACUAUAGCUUGACACUGAACACUGGUCCUUGAUGUGUAGGAUAGGUGGGAGGCUUUGAAGUGUGGACGCCAGUCUGCAUGGAGCCAUCCUUGAAAUACCACCCUUUAAUGGCUGGUGUUCUAACGUGGGCCCCUAAUCGGGGUUGCGGACAGUGUCUGGUGGGUAGUUUGACUGGGGCGGUCUCCUCCUAAAGAGUAACGGAGGAGCACGAAGGUCAGCUAAUCCUGGUCGGACAUCAGGAGGUUAGUGCAAUGGCAUAAGCUGGCUUGACUGCGAGCGUGACGGCGCGAGCAGGUGCGAAAGCAGGUCAUAGUGAUCCGGUGGUUCUGAAUGGAAGGGCCAUCGCUCAACGGAUAAAAGGUACUCCGGGGAUAACAGGCUGAUACCGCCCAAGAGUUCAUAUCGACGGCGGUGUUUGGCACCUCGAUGUCGGCUCAUCACAUCCUGGGGCUGAAGUAGGUCCCAAGGGUAUGGCUGUUCGCCAUUUAAAGUGGUACGCGAGCUGGGUUUAGAACGUCGUGAGACAGUUCGGUCCCUAUCUGCCGUGGGCGCUGGAGAAUUGAGGGGGGCUGCUCCUAGUACGAGAGGACCGGAGUGGACGCAUCACUGGUGUUCGGGUUGUCAUGCCAAUGGCAUUGCCCGGUAGCUAAAUGCGGAAGAGAUAAGUGCUGAAAGCAUCUAAGCACGAAACUUGCCCCGAGAUGAGUUCUCCCUGACCCUUUAAGGGUCCUGAAGGAACGUUGAAGACGACGACGUUGAUAGGCCGGGUGUGUAAGCGCAGCGAUGCGUUGAGCUAACCGGUACUAAUGAACCGUGAGGCUUAACCUUACAACGCCGAAG